UCUCCGUUGGUGAACCAGCGGAGGGAUCAUUACUGAGUGAGGGUCUCCGGGCCCGACCUCCAAUCCCAUGUGAACCGAAACCUGUUGCAUCGGGGGCGACCCUGCCUUUCGGCGCGGCGCCCCCGGAGCCCAUCAAACCCUGCGUAACUAAGUCGUCGGAGUUUAAACAAAUUAAACAAAACUUUCAACAACGGAUCUCUUGGUUCGGGCAUCGAUGAAGAACGCAGC
rnacentral:misc_RNA from 1 species